AUGCGGGUGGGGACGCUGAAAGAAGGACACCACUAUCUUCUCCCCCCUCCCCGCCCCCAGCCUCCAGCCGGCCUGGCGCGGGACCCCCUCCCUCCCGCAGUCGGAGCGGUGGGGGCGGGCGAGGCGAGGAGAAGGGGGAGGAGGAGAGGCAGGGGGCGAGGUCUGCUUCAAGAAGGGGCGUGUGGCCGGAGGAGCUCGCGUCGGAGCAACUUGGGAGCGAGCGAGUCGGCAGAGAAGGGGAGGGAAGAAAGUUGGUUUCCCCCGACGUCAGCGCCGGGCGGGCCGCGGAGCCAAGAGGCGGCCGGGAGCGGGGCCGAGCGCGGGGCGGCCGGGGCGCGCUCGCUCCGACCCGCGCCUGCCACCCGCGCCUCGGACCCGCGCCCACCACCGCCGCCGGCGACCCCGGGCGGCCCGCGGGCAUGGACAGCGCGGCCGGCCCGCCUUCGCCCCGGACAAGCCGGCGCUAGGCCCGGGGCCGCCGCCGCCGCCGCCCGCGCUGGGGCCGGGCGACUGCGCCCAGGCGCGCAAGAACUUCACGGUCAGCCACCUCCUGGACCUGGAGGUGGCGGCGGCGGGCGGCUGGCGGCGCGCCCCGCGCCCAGGGCCGAGGCGCGGGAGGGCGCGGCGCGCGAGCCGUCCGGGGCAGCAGCGGCAGCGAGGCGCCGCAGGACGGUGAGUGCGCGGGGCCGGGGCCGGGGAUGCGGGGCCAGAGGCUCGUGGGCCCGAAGGGGCGAGCGCGGGACCGGCGACGGAAGCGGGGACUCUGGCUCUGCCGGAGCCCGGCCUGGGAAGGAGAAGUCGCGGCGGGACCUCCGGGGGUGCGGGCGCUGGGCGCCGCCUCCCGAGCGGCUGGCGUGGCCCCCGCCGCCGCCGCCGCCGCCGCCGCCCUCCCUGAGGUUGUAUGUCCGCGAUGGACGGGACGGGAGCUGUCGGCUGUGGGAGGCCAGAUCCACCUCCAGUCGUUGGGAGAACAGGGCGCUGUGCUGCCCUGUGCCCUGCCCCGGGUGGUACCCCUUGAUCCCCCCACUCCCAAACAGCCUGGGAGAAGUGGGUGCGAUUAUUGCUGGGGAAACUGAGGCUUCCGGUGGGGCGAAGAGACCUAGUCGCACAGCUGGGUCUCCAACUCUGCCCCGCUCUUCCAGGACACCCUGCUAG
rnacentral:lncRNA from 1 species